UAAACGCAGCAAUUUUCUCGAUAGUUCAGAAGCAAUUCAAACGCAACCAUCUUGCAACUCUGUUAGGGUUAUAAAGAAAGAGAAGUAGCUAAAAGAAAAUAUCGAUAAGGAAUCAAAACUUUGUUAUGACCGAAGGGAAUAAAAAUUACAAAGAAGACAUAGGGUAUACGACCGAGUUGUGUGACUACUUGCUUCGUACACUCGGCAUAUGGCCAUUUUCGAAGAAGAAAAAGGAAUGUACGGAAAGUCUGCUAAAGCUUCUCGUCAUUUUAUUUAGCUAUUCUCUAUUGGGUUUCUUCGUUGUACCAGCUGUACUUCAUCUGAUCUUGAUCGAAAAAGAUUCUGGCUCGAAGCUGAAAAAAUUACCGCUCAUCUUUUACAACGUCAUUUCGAUCGCGAAAUAUAGCGGAUUGCUCUUGCAGGAAAAUCAAAUCGCUAGUUGCCUGAGACACGUCGAGGAGGACUGGAAAAGUGUUAGAAUCGAAAGUUAUCGUGUGAUAAUGAAGAAAAAAGCAAAACUCGGAAGACGAUUGCUUCUCAUUUGCGGUAUUCUCAUGUAUAGCAGCGGUGGUUUCAAUCGAGUUUUUCUACCCCUUUCUAGGGGCAAGAUAGUAACCCUUCAAAAUAUUACGAUCAGACCUCUUCCCUGUUCAGGAUACUAUGUCUUCUUCGACGAUCAAAUCAGUCCUAAUUAUGAGAUCGUCUUUUGCCUGCAGUGCGUCUCCGGAUUGGUAACUUAUUCAAUUACCACAGCGAUCUGUGGUUUAGCGGCACUUUUCGUCAUGCAUGCUUGCGGACAACUCGAAAUUCUCGUGAAAUUAAUCAAAGGUAUCGUUAAAAAGACAGAUAACGGAGAAGAUCAAACGAAUAAACUGAUUUCUAUAACGGUCGAGCAUCAAAUUAAAGUACGAAGUUUUUUGCAAACGGUAGAAGUUACGAUGCAACAGAUAUGUUUGUUCGAGCUCAUGGGUUGCACCUUGACCAUGUGUUUCUUUGGAUAUUGUUUAAUUACGGUACUCGUGUUAAUAUUUUUUACUUUUCUUUCCUAUCUAACACGAAUUAUCUCUAACACGAUUUUAAUAAUUCUAAAGGAAUGGGGCAACCAUAACCCGACUAGUAUUUGUACAUACUUCGUCGGGCUUUUAUCUAUAACAUCUCAUAUUUUCAUGUUCUGUUUUGUCGGUGAACAGCUUACUUUACAGGUAGAUAUUUUACUAUCUCUCAUCUACGCAGAAAAGGUGGCUGUAACAUCUUGCAUACUUGAUUGGUAUCGUUUGCCAAAUAACAAGGCCAAGAGCGUCAUUUUAAUAAUGGCUAUAUCUCAUUGUCCCAUGAGAAUUACAGCAGGAAACGUAAUAGAACUAUCUCUUCAAACUUUUGGUCAGGUUAUCAAAACAGCAGCAGCAUAUUGCAAUAUAUUACGAACAGUAACUUAAUCAUUACUUUUUCAAGUAGUAAAAAUUAUAAAAUGUAUCUAAAAAAAAAAAAAACGCGAUACACAUUACAAAAACUAAAGGAAUAUAUCGAUUUUAAUAGUACUAAUAAAAGUGAUUCGUAAAAAAUGUAGACAGGGAUUUUAUAAAGUUUUCUGAAGUAUAUAUGCAAUGAAAGGGUUGCGCUUCUUUAUAGAAAACUCUAUCUACAAUACUUUUCUCGUUCAAUAUUUAUCGCACUGUUGUAAUCGAUGUUAUGUAAACUUUUACAAAUUCCCUAUCUCUUUUAUACUACGUGUAAUUUAUCUGUGGUUUUAUCUGGGCGGCCUAUGAUUGAUAUGUAUUCAUAAAAGUCCUAAACUUUUUAUAUUUACCAUGUACGAAUAAAAUUCUCUUCGUUAAUUGAAAAUAAAUUAUUAAUAUAAAAAUGAAACAGUAUCUAUGAAAUAGUUCAUAAAUAAUUCUGAAUGUAGCUAUCGAAUUUAAUCGAUGAAUUACAAUGUCUACGAAAUAGUAAGGCAUUAAUUCAGUGUCUCUACAAUAAUUAAUCAAUGACUUACCGACUUACCAACCUUAUCGACAUUGCUUACUCAUCGAAAUAACCAGCUAAGCGCAAUCAUCAACUCAAUGAAAUUACCAGUUACCGGUAUUAUCGACUUUUUUGCCUUAGAGUUUACUGAUCAUUUAUCUACAGAUAUAUUAUUAAUGAUUUUUAUUAUAAAGAAUAAUAAUUUUAUUAACAUCACGUUCUUCUGAAUUACAUUUGAAGAAUUUCAUUUCAAUGUUUAGAGAAUUAAUUUCUGUGACAGGAGAAUAUGAUGUCAAAAGAAGUGGUAGGAUUUUUCAGAUAAGGUUUUCGGAUAAUUUGCACGAGCAAGGAGUGUACAAAAUAUUAAUCAUGUGUUUAUUAUAGCUAAUCAAUGUUUAUUUUAAUCUUUAUAUAUAUAUAUAUAUAUAUAUAUGUCUGUGUGUGUGUGUGUGUGUGAUAAUUCGAGUUGUUUUUUUGUAUCAUAAUUUUUGUAUUACAUUAUGCCAAUAUUUUUCAUUAUACAAUUUCAAACAAUUCGAUGAUUCGAUGUCUUUCUGAUCUACAUUUAUUUCUUACGACAAUAUGUAUUAAUUUGU